rnacentral:rRNA from 1 species
UAAGGGGUGCCUGCGGAGGGAUCAUUACCGAGUUUACAACNUCCCAAACCCCUGUGAACAUACCAAUUGUUGCCUCGGCGGAUCAGCCCGCUCCCGGUAAAACGGGACGGCCCGCCAGAGGACCCCUAAACUCUGUUUCUAUAUGUAACUUCUGAGUAAAACCAUAAAUAAAUCAAAACUUUCAACAACGGAUCUCUUGGUUCUGGCAUCGAUGAAGAACGCAGCAAAAUGCGAUAAGUAAUGUGAAUUGCAGAAUUCAGUGAAUCAUCGAAUCUUUGAACGCACAUUGCGCCCGCCAGUAUUCUGGCGGGCAUGCCUGUUCGAGCGUCAUUUCAACCCUCAAGCCCAGCUUGGUGUUGGGACUCGCGAGUCAAAUCGCGUUCCCCAAAUUGAUUGGCGGUCACGUCGAGCUUCCAUAGCGUAGUAGUAAAACCCUCGUUACUGGUAAUCGUCGCGGCCACGCCGUUAAACCCCAACUUCUGAAUGUUGACCUCGGAUCAGGUAGGAAUACCCGAUC